CAAAGCAUUUAGAGCAAAUCUGUCAGGGAUAAAAUUGUUCAUCAGGUCAAGAUCUAUCUGCCCUGAAAUUUUCAGAUGAAUCGAACAACCCAUUGUUGGGUUGCUGCCCCUGAAAUAAUAAUUUUAAGGAAAUUUUGCUGUUUUUGGUUAUUAUCUUGAAUAUUAUUAUAGAUAGAGAUAAACUGUAAACAGCAAUAAUGUUCAGCAAAGUAAGAUCUACAAUAAGUCAACAUGACCAAAAUGGUCAGUUGACCGUUUAGGAGUUAUUGCCCUUUAUAGUCAAUUUUUAACCAUUUUUCGUAAAUCUUAGUAAUCUUUUAGAAAAAUCUUCUUCUCUGAAACUACUGGGCCAAAUUUAACCAAACUUGGCCAUAAUCAUCAUUGGGGUAUAUAAUUUAAAAAAUUUGUCCGGUGACCCGGCCAACCAACCAAGAUGGCCGCCAUGGCUAAAAAUAGAACAUAGGGGUAAAAUGCAGUUUUUGGCUUAUAACUCAAAAACCAAAGCAUUAAGAGCAAAUCUGACAGGAAGUAAAAUUGUUGAUCAGGUGAAGAUCUAUCUGCCCUGGAAUUUUCAGAUGAAUCGGAUAAUCGGUUGUUAGGUUGCUGCCCCUGAAUUGGUAAUUUUGAGGAAAUUUUGCUGUUUUUUUUUGUUAUCUUGAAUAUUAUUAUAGAUAGAGAUAAACUGUAAACAGCAAUAAUGUACAGCAAAGUAAGAACUAAAAAUAAGUCACUAUGACCAAAAUAGUCAAUUGACCCCCUAAGGAGUUAUUGCCCUUCAUAGUCAAUUUUUAACAAUUUUCUUAAAAUUUGAAGAUUUUCAAUAAUUUUCCACAGAAAGUACUGUUAUAGAGAUAAUUGUAAGCAGCAAGAAUGAUUAGUAAAGUAAGAUCUACAAACACAUCACCAUCACCAAAACACAAUUUUGUCAUGAAUCCAUCUGUGUCCAUUGUUUAAUAUUCACAUAGACCAAGGUGAGCGACACAGGCUCUUUAGAGCCUCUAGUUUUUUGUGUGCUGGUGGUGUUACCACAGGUUUGUGUAUGCGUCUAGUGUGGUUGGGAGUCAUAGACUCUUACACUGCCGCUGGAUAGCUUAUAUUCAUAGGUGAAAAGAAAGCUGAGUGCGUAAGUCUUUCCUUCCAGUACAUAGCCUCUACACUAACAAGACUUCUACAGUGCCUCCCCGUGACAGCACAUGGUAACUAGGAUCUAGUGUCCUAGGCUUUACUGUAGAGGAUCUCGGAGUAGCAAGGUCCCUAGAGAUAAAGUGUGUAGGCUGAUCGACAUGCGGACAUCCCUACACUCAUCAACCUUGCCCCAGUUAUGGGUUAAAUAGCCCGCUGGAUGAUGGUCAUCAGCCUUCAAAGGAUGUCUAGGAGAAGAAAACUCUGAUAUGAAAUUUUUGGUAGAUUUGACUCUUCAGCCUUGGUCUGCAAUUGAUCUAAAUGAAAUAAAGCUUGAGUAAACAUUCUCUGGUUCUUCAGGUUUGGGAUUGAGAGAUAUGCCAACAACCUAUCCUUGUAAAAAGGAAGAAUGAUUAUAUACUGAUUAAUCUCCCAGAUGAGGAACAUCACAACUGGGUCUGCAUGAAGCUUUAACAUUCGAAAGACAAGGUAAAUAUGCAUAAGGUACAUGUAGUAGAUGUCUAGUCAUUUCAUUUCAGCAGCUAUGAUUUUGAUGUACAAGUUCGCAUUUUAGUGUAGAAAAGGGAGAAAUUUCUAAGGGAGAAAUCUGACACUAACCAGAAAACCAGAUUGAGUAACUAACCCAAUAAAAUAGAGAAUUUUAAAAACAUUGGUGCUCCUGAAAGAAAAGCAAGGGUACAGUUCCUGUUCCACAGGUCACAAUUAACAGUUAUGACCAAAAUACGUAUUACAUACAUUAUGUAAAUACUUUACAUUUAAUAUUAUACAUGUUAUAAAUGAAAAUGCUGUAUUUACUAUACUAAAAUAAAAUUCAAUGUAUUGAAAACUCACCACACUAUUCUCUCUCACUCUCUUUCUCUUUCUAUAUAUCUUCCUCUCUCUCUUUCCGGUGUUCAAACUGCUCUUCUUAUAUUUGAAUUUAAAAAAAAAAAAUUGCUUCCUAUUAUAGAAAGAUGUAUUGAUUAGAUAAUAUCUAUAGGUUUAUAUAUUAUAUAUUGCAAUAAUAUUUGUGUAUCAUCACAUACAUCUAAACAAUUACAUGUAUAUUCAUAGCAAUUUGAUAUUUACACCUGGCCCAUUGGACCUAUAUGUCACUUUAGCAAUAGUAUAUCUUAUUUAUCUGUAUUAACUGCUAUGAUUAGAUGUUGAUAAAAUUGACUAAAUUUCAUAUACAUGUAUAAAUAUCGAAAUAAGAUGUGGUAAUUAAUUGUCAAUGAGACAACUGACUCCACCAGAGACUAAAAGAUAUACAAGUUAACAACUAUUGGUCAACAUACGGCCUUCAAUAAGUGUUUUUACUACCAUCACAGUUAAGGAUUCAUUUUUUUUUUCAGUUAUCCUGGAUAUUUAUUGAAGUAAAAUCUAAGGAAAGUAGGACCUGGAUGUAAAAUAAUAUCAACUUUAAGGUAUGUAUGUUGACGGUAACAAAAUCCUUGUUUCAAGGUAACAUUAAAGAUAAUGAACGGUUCUAGUUUAUUGCUUCUAUAAUAAUACAAUACCUAAUUACAGAUAUAGAAAUAUGAAGAUGUGGUAUGAUUGCAAUUUGGAAAACUCUCCAAAAAACCAAAUGACAUAUAAAUUAACAGCUAUAGGUCACAAUUCUGCCUUCAAAAAUGAGUAAAACCCAUACCACAUACAUGUUACGUUAGCUAUAAAUUGGCCAAAAAAUGAAAAUUGUAAAAAAAUUCAGUCGAGAAAACAAACUGCCUAAUUCAUGUCCAAAAUAAUGAACAAAACAAAUAUGUUACACAGCAACAAACAUUAACCACUGAAUAACAGGCACAUACAGAGUGUGGCAGGGUUAAACUAGUUUAGUUUGAAGGCAUAUUGUCCUUAUCCAUCAAAUCUUUGGUUGAAUGAAAAUUUUUAAUCCAUGGUGCCUGAAAAAAUUGACAUGUUUAUUUUAAACAAAUCUGAAGCAAAAUGUAAGUACAAUGGUGGCAUUUCAUACUUAAGAUGCCAUAAGAUUUGAUACAAUUCUGAACUGCUUUAUAUGAAGAAUUUCUUCAGCCUCUGUCUCCUGGUUACCCAAUAUAUGGAUAAAAUGUAAAUAUCUUCUGACAUCAACAUUAUAUAUAAUUUUUUGUGAAUUUUAGUUUACAUGUUUUGAAUGAAAUUUUAUUUUCUAUUUGUAGACAAAGCGUGCUUGUUAAUUUAAAAAUCAACUGAAGCAGAAGAAUGGAUUCUGUUGAUCUGAGGAACUUGGAAACACUUAUUGACAAAAAAAUAUGUAGUAAUACAAUUAUGUUUACUCUGAGAGAUAGAAAGAGGGGGAGAGCCAGUUGUAAAGAUUUAUUCUUUUAAACCAGAUAUGUUGAUUACUUUCGAAUUUCAUAGGCCUACAGUUCCCCCUAAAUAGUCUUAAUUAAUACAUGUACUAGGUGUUUAAUGUAAGACUUUGAUGUGACUUGUGAGAACAACCAGCUGCCAUUGGUUAAAAUUUAUUUUUAUGCCCUUUUAGUUGGGGGGGGGGGGGCAUAUUGUUUUACUCCUGUUCUAACUUCCUACUGUCCUAUUAUGAGUAAAUAAAUAUAAGAAGAUGUGAAAUGUUGACAAUGAGACAACUCUUCAUCCAAAUCACUACAGAUAAUUCCAGAUAACUACUCCUAGAGUUUAAUGAGUUAUCUCCCAUAUUUGAAGGUACUUUUGGUAACAGUAUUUCGUGAUAAGGCUGAUGCAAAUAGGAGACAACUCUUAAUUUUUUUAUAAAAAGAUUUUAACUUGUUUUUGAAUUUAACAAACUGAGCAUAAGUUGUGAGAAAUGGAAACUAGCAGGCUGAGAUUUAGGGUUAAGGGGAGGGAAUACACUGCUUACAAUGCUUAUCUCUUCAUAUGAGCUAGUUUGUUCACUGCAUGGAAGGCCUGCAAUAAAUAAGAAUGUAUUGGUUUACUUAUAAUUGUUAUAUAUUUUAUGUUAGAUAUGCUAUAUCAGAUGUAAAUAAAAGAGGGAUGAAAGAUACCAAAGGGACAGUCAAACUCAUAAAUCUAAAAGUAAGAUGACAGUAUUAUUUAGAGCUCUGAAUAAUAAUGCAUUAAGUGGUUUGGUCUGACAUGGUGAUUUCAAAUUAUAUUUACGUCAUCAUCAUCUCCAAAGUGUUUCCAUUCUCAAUUUUAUCUGAUAUUAAACGCCCCUUCCUCACAAUCAUGACUUCAUUUUUAAGUUUAAUGAGUUAUCUCCCAUAUUUGUAGGUACUUUUGGUAACAGUAUUUCAUGAUAAGGCUUAUGCAAAUAGGAGACAACUCUUAUUUUUUGUAGAAAAGAUUUUUUUAACUUGUUUAUGAAUUUAAUGGUAAAUCUUGUGACUUUGUAAAUUUUUUCUCAGCUUUAAAACAAUAUCUAACACCCUGCCCAUGAAAUUGAAUGUUGCUCCUCGUGAUUUUAGCCAGUGAAUUCUUUUGCAAUAGUUUAAAAGAAAUGUCAAAUAAAUGUAGUUUUUCAUAAUGCAUUUAAAAGAAUGGUAUAUUUUAUAGAAUGCUAAUAUUGUUUUACUUGUAUGUUUAGUAGUCACAAAAAAAUGUAAUAUAUUAUUAUUUGUUUUACUUUUUUCAAGUGGAAUAGAUUGUAAAGUUGAAAUUUCUGUAACAAUUAAACACCUAUGAUUCUUCCAUACAAUAUGUAUGAGGGUUUUUUAAAGCAGGGUGUAUGUUUUUUUUCAAUAUUACCAUAUUGGUAACAGUAUUAUACAAGGUGAUUGCUACAUUAAUCAUUUCUCAUUUUAAUAAAUAACAUUAAUUUGAA
rnacentral:lncRNA from 1 species